rnacentral:rRNA from 1 species
UAGUGAGUUUGAUCCUGGCUCAGGAUGAACGCUGGCGGCGUGCCUAAGACAUGCAAGUCGAACGCAGUAGCUUGCUACUGAGUGGCGCACGGGUGAGUAACACGUAACUGACCUACCCCGUAGUCCCGCACAACGGUCCGAAAGGACCACUAAUUCGGGAUGUGAACCCGCACCGUGGUGCGUGUUUAAAGAUUCAUCGCUAUGGGAUGGACUCGCGGCCUAUCAGCUUGUUGGUGAGGUAAUGGCUCACCAAGGCGACGACGGGGUAGCCGGCCUGAGAGGGUGACCGGCCACACUGGGACUGAGACACGGCCCAGACUCCUACGGGAGCAGCAGUGGGGAAUUUCCGCAAUGGGGCGAAAGCCUGACGGAGCAAGACCGCGUGAGGGGA